CCUACGGGUGACAGCAGUGAGGAAUAUUGGUCCAUGGGCGGAAGCCUGAACCAGCCAAGUCGCGUGAGGGAAUAAGGCCCUACGGGUCGUAAACCUCUUUUGCCGGGGAGCAAGGGCCGGGACGCGUCCCGUCCCGGAGAGUACCCGGAGAAAAAGCCUCGGCUAACUCCGUGCCAGCAGCCGCGGUAAUACGGAGGAUGCGAGCGUUCUCCGGAUUUAUUGGGUUUAAAGGGUGCGUAGGCGGGCUUUUAAGUCAGCGGUAAAAAUUCGGGGCUCAACCCCGUCCGGCCGUUGAAACUGGGGGCCUUGAGUGGGCGAGAAGAAGGCGGAAUGCGUGGUGUAGCGGUGAAAUGCAGAGAUAUCACGCAGAACCCCGAUUGCGAAGGCAGCCUUCCGGCGCCCGACUGACGCUGAGGCACGAAAGUGCGGGGAUCGAACAGGAUUAGAUACCCGGGUAGUC
rnacentral:rRNA from 1 species